rnacentral:lncRNA from 10 species
GUGAUCUCUACCUGGGCCAACCUCUAGAUAAUGUGACUCUCCUGCCUGGGCCCUUCUCUCAGUAAGGGUUGUGACAUAUCACUGGAUCUAACACCCAAGUGAUGUUACAUUCUUGCCUGGACCAUGCACAGAGACAUCAUUGUGACAUAUCACUGUGUCCACCACUUAGGUGAUGUAACUCUCCUCUCUGGAAUGGACCCUGAAUACGGAGUGGUAGUGACAUCUUCCUAGGCCAGACACACAGGUGUUGGUACUCUUUUUCCAGGGCUAUGUUUCAAGGAGGGCAUUGUGACAUAUCUCUGGACCUAUCACCGAGGUGAUAUGAUUCAACGCUUGGGCCUCACCGACGUAGAACAUUGUGACAUAAAAGUUAAACCUGCACCAAAGGUGUUGUAACUCUUUCACCUUGGUCCUGUCCUAAGGGAGCCCUGCAACAUAUCUCAGGACCCAGCACUCAGGAACAUUGUGACAUCGUUGGACAUAGCAUCUAGGAAAUGUGACUCUUCUCUCCUGCCUAGGUCCUGCCCACUAAAGGAAUUGUGACAUACCACUGAGUGCAAAACCUAGCCCUGUCUACAGUGGACAUGGUACCACAUGACUUGAGGCUGUAUCCAGGCCAUGACCAUAGAUGAAAUUUUGACAUACGUGGACCAUACACCUAAGCGAAGGUGCCUGGGCCUGCCUACAAAGGGCACUUUUACGUAUUACUAGGACCAGCACGCAGUUUUUCCAUAAAUUCUUCCCUGAGCCUUGAAGUGAGCCUCUGGUGGUCCAGUGAUCAUUACCAUCCUCACUUUAGCAUCUGGUGCUUCUGCUGGAGCAAUGUUAAUUGAAGCUCCGGCAAAGCGAGAAAGCUGCUUGAUGUGCUUGGCCCUGCUUGCCGAUGAUGACACCGACUGAUAGAGCCUGGAUAAACAGAUGAACAGUCUCCGUUUCUGAUUGCUCAAACUGCGGCUUUGGCACAUGCCUCAACAUUGCCUUUAACUGUAAUGGUGCGUUCUGGAUUAUACAGCGUCAAUUCCUGAAAGCACCUUGAUGGCCUUGAGGGCCCAGCUCUCCUCUGGGCAGUCCAUGAACGCAUAGCCAGUCUUCACCAGGAAGGAUCCCAACACUGGGAUCUUGGCGUCCUUGAAGAUACUUUCUAGGUCCAAGGGGACGGCGUUCUCGUGGAGGUUUCCGAUAUACAGUUUGUUCAUUGUGAAGAAUGGUUGUUUAAAAAAAUUAACGAGAAGAACGAGAAAUUAAAACCACCCAUGGUGAUGGAUGGAUCCAGCUGGUUUUGUUGCUCUCAUCUUCUCACCUUUAAAAUACACAAACACAGAAAGAACCAAGCACAAGAACAAGGAGUGAAAAAUCAGAUCCGAGGCUUGUUUUUCCUUGUCCUAGAUAUGUUUUAAAAGAGAAAGAAAAGAAAAAGCCUAGCUACAACCCAAAUGCAUCAACCAGUCUUCCUAAGUCUCGCUUUUGAAUAAUUUUCAAAUGAGAUGUACACCUAAAUUUUAAGAGUGUUUGAGUUUGUGUUUGCUUUAGUGGUGCUUUAUAUCUGUCUGAUUGUAAGCAUAAUGUUCAUGGAAAGAGACUUUUGGUAGGAAUCAAACUGGGACUCUUACAAUGGCUUAAGUCCAUCAGAAUAGUUCUGAUGCUACUUAGGAGCAUCAGAACUCCUUUCUUUGCCUGAUUUUUCAACUUAUUUCUUAAUUGGAACCCCAUAAAGAACAUGAAUGGUCUUCUGAUAUCCUUAAUGUCUUAGAGUUAUAUCAAUAUUUUGC